UACAGAGGGUGCGAGCGUUGUUCGGAAUUAUUGGGCGUAAAGGGCGCGUAGGCGGUGCGGUAAGUCACCUGUGAAAUCUCCUGGCUCAACUGGGAGCUUGCAGGCGAAACUGCCGUGCUGGAGUGUGGGAGAGGUGAGUGGAAUUCCCGGUGUAGCGGUGAAAUGCGUAGAGAUGUGGAGGAACACCGAUGGCGAAGGCAGCCUUUUGGGCCAACACUGACGCUCAUGCACGAAAGCGUGGGGAGCAAACAGG
rnacentral:rRNA from 1 species